GAUGAACGCUGGCGGCGUGCCUAAUACAUGCAAGUCGAGCGAACGGACGAGAAGCUUGCUUCUCUGAUGUUAGCGGCGGACGGGUGAGUAACACGUGGAUACCCUACCUAUAAGACUGGGAUAACUUCGGGAAACCGUAGCUAAUACCGGAUAAUAUUUUGAACCGCAUGGUUCAAAAGUGAAAGACGGUCUUGCUGUCACUUAUAGAUGGAUCCGCGCUGCAUUAGCUAGUUGGUAAGGUAACGGCUUACCAAGGCAACGAUGCAUAGCCGACCUGAGAGGGUGAUCGGCCACACUGGAACUGAGACACGGUCCAGACUCCUACGGGAGGCAGCAGUAGGGAAUCUUCCGCAAUGGGCGAAAGCCUGACGGAGCAACGCCGCGUGAGUGAUGAAGGUCUUCGGAUCGUAAAACACUGUUAUUAGGGAAGAACAUAUGUGUAAGUAACUGUGCACAUCUUGACGGUACCUAAUCAGAAAGCCACGGCUAACUACGUG
rnacentral:rRNA from 1 species